rfam:Clostridium sp. CAG:964 genomic scaffold, scf172
CGACAGGCCCUGUACGAUUGGGUGCUGUGAACCAUGUCAGGCGGGGAACCGAGCAGCAUUAAGCAGAUUUCUUGAUGCGAUACAGUAAGUCUGUCGUUC